UUUUGCUUGACUUCUGCCUUCAUUCCUCCGUGUAAUCAAUGCCAUAUUGUUCCUAUAGGUCAGCGCAAUGUCGUUCUCUCCGCGCGAUUUUCUUUCCUUAAAUUUCUCAAUUAUGGAAGAAUUGGAUUGUCUUUGCCGUGUAGUCAAAUCCGGGCGAAAGUGAUUUUGUUUAUUGGGACUUUUAACGUUAGAUUUUAGUAUACUCUUGGCCUCAUCGUUGUUCGAAAAAAUCAUCUUUAACGGACGUACCGCAUUAGGUUUUGGAGGACCAAUACGGAAAAUUUUCUUUGGCUGUUGGAAUGCCCCUAGAGGUUCCAAAAUGGACGAAACAUGAAACAUAGUCCCAGCGGCACCUGUGCUACUAGUUUUGAGGGUAGCUGGUGGUACACGACUUGUUUGAAUGUGGAUCUUAGUGGGAAGUAUAUAAAAAACCCAACGCCUGGAACAUACUAUGAGUCAGCAAUAAACUGGCAUGACUUUCAUGGCUAUAACUAUAGUCUCAAAGAAGCAAAAAUGAUGAUCAGAACUAUUUAAGUUUAUUUGUCCAAAUACAACUAAUCCUUGACUUUUGUAUUUCGAAUAAUAAAUACGUCCAAUUGAAAA